AUUUUUCUCUUUUCGAAGAAGUCAACGAACGGUGCUGGUAUUCGUUCGUCUUCAUUAGUUCAUUUGCCUCUUCACUUAACAACAUUUAGAAGUAGCAUCACGCUAAUUUCGAGAUUGAUUUCUGAGAUUGUAAUAGAAUUGGCAGAUAGAUUUGGAUAAAUAGAUAGGCUUAGUAAUAGAUUUUUGAGUAAAUAGGUUUGAUAAAUAGGGAAUUGAUUAAUAGAGAGUAGAUUAGGUAGUUCAUUGAGUUUCUGUCAGUUAUAUUGUAUCUGUUGUGUUUCUGCGGUGACUGUGUCUGUUCACUGUUCAGGUGGACUUCUCACAGUCAUAAACUAGGGGGAGAGAAUGUGGAGACACCGCUCGUCCGGCUGACAACGAAUGAAGUUGCCACCAACUUCUGCAGGGGUGGCGGGAAAGGGAAGAGGUUCCUAAACAGCCUUCUGAUAAACACAAUUCUGGAGAAAGUUGUUGCUGCGUCUCUGGAGAUUUCAUGAGCAAGCUGUUUGAAACCAGGGUGUAAGAGUGGCUCCAGCAGGCUGGGACCAGAAUGCAAUUUAUUAAAAACUUCAAAAAAUAAUAGAAUUGACUAGAAUUUAUUUGUCACGUUUUAUGAGAUUGUAGUGGAAUAAAAAUGUAUUUUUAAGUUGUA
rnacentral:lncRNA from 1 species